rnacentral:rRNA from 1 species
CGGGGGCAACCCUGGUGGCGAGUGGCGAACGGGUGAGUAAUGCAUCGGAACGUGCCCAUCGAUGGGGGAUAACUGCGCGAAAGCGUUGCUAAUACCGCAUACGACCUACGGGUGAAAGCAGGGGACCGCAAGGCCUUGCGUCGAUGGAGCGGCCGAUGCCGGAUUAGCUAGUUGGUGAGGUAAAGGCUCACCAAGGCGACGAUCCGUAGCUGGUCUGAGAGGACGACCCAGCCACACUGGGACUGAGACACGGCCCAGACUCCUACGGGAGGCAGCAGUGGGGAAUCUUGGACAAUGGGCGAAAGCCUGAUCCAGCAAUGCCGCGUGUGGGAAGAAGGCCUUCGGGUUGUAAACCACUUUUGGCGGGAAAGAAAUGGUCUGUGCUAAUACCACGGAUUGAUGACGGUACCCGCAGAAUAAGCACCGGCUAACUACGUG